rnacentral:rRNA from 1 species
GUUUAGACCGUCGUGAGACAGGUUAGUUUUACCCUACUGACGACCAUAGAAGAAAUGUUGUUGCGAUAGUAAUCCUGCGAAGUACGAGAGGAACCGCAGGUUCGGACAGUUGGUUGGCGCACUUGGUCGAGCGGCCAGUGGUGUGAGGCUACGUCCGGAUGAUUAUACCUGAAGGCCUCUGAAGGUAGAAUCGAUGCUGGAGGAAGGCAAUGAUACGCCGCGUCUUUUGACUCGUUUCGACGUUUUAUCUGGGUGGCUAUAACGAGACCCGUCUCGGUUAGAGAUUAAAACUCGCUCCAUCAGCGAGGGGGUUCCGGCCUUUUCGUUUCGUUUCGGACGAAUGCCUGGUCGGCGCUUCAUUCUCGAGCCGCGGUUUUCAGAGGGGAGGUUUGCCGACGGCUAUGCUGGGUGUCCGCCACGGGAGUGCCAGUCAUGCUCCGGUACGCUUCUUUCCUUUUUACCCGACUAAAG